AAGCGUGCGCAGGCGGUUUUGUAAGACUGUCGUGAAAUCCCCGGGCUCAACCUGGGAAUGGCGAUGGUGACUGCAAGGCUAGAGUUUGGCAGGAGGGGGGUAGAAUUCCACGUGUAGCAGUGAAAUGCGUAGAUAUGUGGAGGAACACCGAUGGCGAAGGCAGCCCCCUGGGUCAAAACUGACGCUCAUGCACGAAAGCGUGGGGAGCAAACAGGAUUAGAUACCCUAGU
rnacentral:rRNA from 1 species